rnacentral:rRNA from 1 species
AUAAGACAGGGAUAACGCACGGAAACGUGAGACUAAAACCAGAUAAGCAUUUUCCACGCAUGAGGGAGAUGAGAAGGCGGAGCAAUCUGCCGCUUAUGGAUGGACCUGCGUCGCAUUAGCUAGCUGGAGUGGUAAAGGCACACCAAGGCGACGAUGCGUAGCCGACCUGAGAGGGUGAGCGGCCACACUGGGACUGAGACACGGCCCAGACUCCUACGGGAGGCAGCAGUAGGGAAUCUUCCGCAAUGGACGAAAGUCUGACGGAGCAACGCCGCGUGAGUGAAGAAGGUUUUCGGAUCGUAAAGCUCUGUUUGCCAGGGAAGAAGAGCAAGGAGAGGAACUGCUCCUUGAGUGACGGUACCUGAGAAGAAAGCCCCGGCUAACUACGUG